GUCUAUGGUCAUACCACCCUGAACGCGCCUGAUCUCGUCUGAUCUCGGAAGCUAAGCAGGGUCAGGUCUGGUUAGUACUUGGAUGGGAGAGCUUAUGUAAAUAAACCCUGCAAAAAUAUAAAUG
ensembl:rRNA 5S_rRNA 5S ribosomal RNA